UGGCAAGCUCCUGAGAGAGAGCACCACUACUGUAUCUCCCACAAAGAAGUUACGGAUUGAAAACACAUGCAGGAACUCCACUGCCAGGGACAGUCAGGACUGCAUCAUCUGUUUAUCACUGUGAUGGCCAACUCAACACACCCAGGGAAUUACAGGUCCUUCACUGCCGACAAGAACAAAAGUGCCAUGCUCCUGUCAGAGCACUGCUGGCUUCUGCUGACUUCCACCAUGAAGGAGAUUGCCCCUCUGCCCAUGGCUCCAGGUCUCACCGUCCUCCCAGGCUCCCUCAGCCAGUGCAUUCCUCACCCUCUGGCAGGACCCCGUGCACACCGUGCCACCAAGCACCAUCAGGGCCAUGGGGACUGGGAGGUCAUCUUCAGCAGCCUUUGCAACAAGGGCAUUCUGGCAGCAGGCCCCAAUGCUGUGCUUGCCCACUGUCCUUUGGGCUGAAGGACCUGGAUGCCCAGGAUGGACAAUGGACAAGUGGAAUCAUCAGACCAUGCUGGCAUAGUCUGCAAAAGGCUGUGAGAUAUAACAAGCUUCCUCCUGGCUCCCAUUGCAAUGGCCAUCAUUGCAAUGGUCUUGGCUCCUCCCCGCUCUCCAUGUUCAAUUUCAACUUUUUGGAUUGUUUAUGUUUUAAAUCCCUGAUUUCACAGACUUCAUGGCCUUUUCCAAGCAAUCUAGCUUUCAUAUACCUGCAUGGACACACUCAAGAACACACAAGGGGUUCCUGCCUUGCUUCUUCUGUCCCACAUGAGGACAACUCAGGUGUUCUAAGGUGAUCUAAGACAUUGACAACUCAGCACCUGGACCAUGAUGCCUGCAAAUGACUGUGGGGAUGAGGGAAUUUCCUCUGACAGGACCCCCAAGUUCCCCCAGCUAAAGUGACUCCCUCUGAAGCACACUGGCUUUCCAAAUGCACACUGGCUGAAAGAGCCACUGACACAAACAGAGGCUACACUGUCACCAUGUGCCAAGUGUGCUGGCAAGGCUGGGGCCAAGCUGGGCUGCAUGAAUGGCAGCGCUUCCUCUCAAAUCCUGGCAGUUGGGAGGGCUCCCUUCGCCCCCACCCACAGCCACCCCAUGGCCCAGCCAUCUGGGAGGAGCUGGUGCUGCUCCAGCAGCUGCUGGAGACCAUGCAUCGCUCAGGGAAUACGCUCUGCCAGCCACCAGGAAUAUGCUCCGCCAGCCAAGGGCCGCACUGGUCUCCAGGAUCCCCUCGCAGGAGCCAUGCAGAUUGUUCCAUGCAGAUUGUUCCUCCCUCACUGUAAGCUCGGGCUGCUGAGCAGUCUGCAGCUGACUGGGUGGAGGAUCUCAGUGGACCUGAGAAACUUCCUCCUGCAAUCAGUGCUAACAAAAGGUCUCUGUCAAGCCAUGUAGAGCAGAGAAAUGCUGUUGAGCGUGCAAUGCUACUAUUAAGGAAUUAGCACGACUGGAAAAUUAUUUUGGCACCAAGCUUCAGCAAUGUUGUCUGGAAUAGCAAGACAGGCAUUCAGCUCUACACCUUCUUCUGAUGUUCAUAAGCAAUCUCUGCCACUACCCAUUUUUCUAUUCAAGAGCUGGUCAGGGGAGGCAGAGAGUCAGCACAGAUAAUAUAGGCAAAAUUAAGUAUAUUUGCUAAGGCUCUUUAAACUGCAGCACUUAAAAUAGUCCUCAAGGUAAAAACUUAACCUUACUGGAUUUAGGAUGCAGUAAAAUUUUAAAUGGGCACAUGCUUUUGACAGAAUUGUUGCAAAAGAGGUUAUGUGGGCUUAUAUCAGUUGAGAUUCAUUAUAAAUUUUACUCUUCUGUGUUUUUCUAAAUGAUAAAAUCAGAUAAAAUCUUGAAUGCUGUUCAGAAUUACUGUGACAUCAGACAUAAAAGGACACUGUUGAUCUUGCAAUCUUGUCAAAACUCUGGCCAAGUUGUCAGAUUUUAGUCAAAAAAUUAGUUGUGAGUUAUUAAUAAUAGCAAGUCAGAGGCUGAAUCUAUUUUUAAAUGGUCUUAUUAAAAAUUUCACUCUGUUUCUAAAUCAAAGAGAAGACCUCAUCUAUUUCCAGACAUUUCUCUGAUUAGUUUAUCAGAAACAUCAUCUAACUGUAUUAACAUAGCUGUCAAAAGGGGCUUCCUUAAUAAAAUGUAACCUUUAUCAAAGGGGAAAAAAAGAAAAUUUUAUUAGUUUGUUGACCAGGGCAUUUCUACAGAUGGCAUCUGGUUUACUGGUUUAUGUUCUUGCUCAGAUCUGACUCUUGUCAUUGUACCAUUUGUAUAGUUUAAUUUUGCUAAUAUGAGCAUCUGAACUGAUUAUGGAGAGAUACUAAAUGGGAAGCAUAUAUGAAAGAUCUUAUUAAACAGCAUUCCUGCAUGAUCUAAAACAGAUGUAGUAUUGUAAAACAAAAAAGCCUUUAUUAAGCCUCCAAAGCUGUCUUUGUCCAUCUGCAUAAACUGGCAGGUUGCAUGAAGACCUUUUUGUUAUUUAUAAAUAGAAUCAUGCCUGAAAUACAACCACACAUCCAAACAAUCUCUAAUUUAGGAAGGGUUAAAGUCCUUGGUCUUGAUCUUCAUCUUGCAGCUAAAGUCUGACAUUAUUAUCUGAGGUUUUACUGCUUGCUUCCUCUGUUUCUUCUUGUUAUUUGUUUUUUUACAAGUCCACCUCCAGUUAACCCUCACUCUUUUAUUCAUGUCAUUGGCAUCUUGUAUGUGCUACACUAGAUAAAUGACAUCCUCAUCAGACCAUGAAAUGCACAUGCUCAAAAGCCCCCGAGGCAUUUCUCUUAGCCUUUACCCCCUCAGCAUAAGAUUUGUCCUCCAUUGUCUUUCUCUUACAGAUACAAUAUAAUCUUAUCUCUUAUAAAUACAAUUCUCUUAUCAAUACAGCUCAUUAUGCACUGUUGGCUUCAGCAAUUACGUUGUAAAUCCAGAGCAGGAAGGCAUCAAAUGACCAACCCUGUCUUGUCUCCUGCUUGGAUGUGCAAUACCUCCAGAAUACCACAAGCUUCUCCCUGAAACCACCUUUUACAAGACAAAGCCCCUCUGGAUGAAUUCCGCACCUGAAUAAUUGUGCUCUAGGUGCAGAUACCUCUGCCAAGUCCAAAAGCAGCAGUCCUACACAGAAACCUACACAGAAGCAUACAAAACCCACAUCCAAAGCUCACAGGGUGCAGCAGGUCUGCAGGCAUUUAUCCUUUUGUGCAGUGCAGCGUGUGGCUGGAUGCCUGCCCUUGGGUACCCACGUCGACCAGUUUCAGCCUUCACCCACUGCACCAGCUCUGAUCUCCAAGCCACCCUGCUCAGGAAAGCCAUGCCUUUUUCAUGCAGAUGUCACUAAAUAUGAAUUUAAGAGACCAAUAUAGGGCCAAAAAGAUGUGGGUUUACAGGUUUUCAGAAGUUGUAAAAUUAAGAGGUGUAACUCAGUUCAGUCAAAAUUUCCUAGAGCUCCAGCUGAAAUAUAAUUUCUUUUUUGUCCCCUUUUUCUGAGUGGUCUGUAAAAACUGAGUCCUUAAAUGGAGUUAGAGCAUCAUAUUCAGUGGCUGUGAUGAAACCCUUUCCCCCUCAAUAAAUUCAGGGGUUUUUCUCCCUGUUUCAUUGUGAUACACAGAGAUCUCAGCUCCCCACAUACUUGCAGUAGGGUGAGGCCAUGCACAAUCCAGUCUGCUUGCUGAGGAGUGAAGAUUCAUGAUCCUGUGGUAACUUAUUUUAUGUUGAAACCUGGAAGUUUUCUUUAUAAAGUAUUUUCACUUUAUAAAAUACUGUGUGAGGUAGCCACUAGUCCAAUUUUAGCAUCUGAAAUGUGACAGUGUUCUAUACAUGGAGAUCUCUAGGAAGAAAAAGUAUUUAAAAAUAAAAUUGUAAUGCCUCAUAUUCAUGGUUCAGUAGUACAGACACUUCUGGCUUCCUUAGCUAAAUAGCAUUGAAAGGAAGGUAAAUAGCAGUGUUCUCUUCCUAACCCAAUUUCAGGGCAUUACUGUGACUUGGAGAUUUAGUCCCUGUUCAUUUCUGAAUUACUUUAGUUGUAAAGCAGAGGCUCCACCAUUGUUUCUGCAUUUAUCAGUAGAGGAGAUAGGUUGGUGUCUGUGUGCCCUGGGGCCCAGGGAUGAGCACUGCAGGGCAAAGGAAGGGCUUGGAUAAGAAAUGCCAUUGUUAUCAGAACCUGUGAUCUUCAUCUUUAGAUGUCAGCUAAAGCACUUGAUAUUCACCAUAGUCAGAGACCACAGCAUUAUAUUGUGAUGUUUAAAUAACUUUUACCUUUCUCCUGUAUGAAAAAAAAAAAAAGAAAAAAAGAAAAAAAGCUGCAGUGAGGUUUCCUCAACAAAUUGCAUUUAACAGCUGGCAGUGGGCAGGCAGCAUUACUUACUGUGCUGGCCAGAGAUGUUGCCUCUGCUUAACAUAAAACAGCACCAGCAAUCCUUACCCUGAGGAAUCACUGUUUUUAAUCACAAAAUUUAUGAAACUGUAAAAGUUGCUGAUACACAUCAGCAGUUCCUGCUGGUGGGAAAGGGAUUGGCUCUGGCACUUCUUGAGAUGGAUAUAAUUCACAAGCUUCUUCCAGUAUCUGGUGCCAACUGCACAGAAGAUUUAUGUAGUGUCAGUUAAAAAUGAGGUUGUUAUCACUGCCAUGUUUAUGAAAUAUUCUCGCCUUUACAAUGACUAUAUUCUCUUAAGCAAGGUGAGGAAAUGUCUGAGAACCUCACAUUUGGGUGUUACCCCUCCUUCCACAAACCACGUCCAAAUCAAUCCAUACAGACUUUUUAACACUAUAUUUCUCUGAUUGUGCAAGUAGGAUGAGAAAGUCUUUGGUUCCACAAAUACAGGUUGAUUGUGUUUUCUGGAGGGUUUUUUUCUAAUUGUUGUUGGGCUUACAUGAUUUUUUUGUGUGUGUGAUGUAUGCAUGCAUGAAGGAAAAUUUGGGACAGAUGUGCUCUUUUAAAAAACUCAUACAAAUAAAUUAUUUAAAUAUAAUUUUAAUGCUGUGUAGUUACCAAAAAGACUUUCUUGUACCUCAAAACACAGUACCUUAGUCCUUUCAUGACUGAGGCUUUCAAUGACAACUCCAUGGAGAAGUCUCCUGGUCUCUGUUCCUCCGGUUUGUCCUCAGACGUGCUGGUACUCAUACUCUCUUCUACAAAAAGUGAUCAGUCCCCAUUACUUUUCUCUCCAUCUUUUCAUUUCUGCUCUCUGUCUAUCAUUACAACAGCCUUUUUUGGGGUGUCUGUACUGCUUUUUUGAGAUAUUGGACUUUUUGUAAGGCCAUUCUGCACAUUUCCUUGCAUAAACUGAUCUACUCAUAUUUUCAAACCUCCUCCUAAUGGCAGUUCCCAACAUUGUCUUGCGUAUAUAUUUUCAGUCCCUUCUGUUCCAGCCUUGUUCUCCUCUUUUUCCUGAUCUUUGUAGGAGAUGGUUUGCUGGCAUGAAUAUGGUUAAAGCAUAAUCCCCUACACAGCCACCAGUGGAUAGAGCUGUAAGAGGUGGCAAGAUAUCUUCCUCCUCUAAUGCAAAUAAAUAUUUACCUAUCAUCUUCUUUCCAGUAUUUCAACAUACCCUUAGAAAGCCUUCUCUAAUAUCUACAUGUUAAAACUUAGAAGUUUUCUCAUUCCAUCAUACUCUUUCCUGCCUACAAUGACAGGUGAUCUCUUCCUGUCUCUCACUUGCCAUAUGAUUUGCCAUGUGAUUCAGUGAAUAUCACACUUCCACCUACCCAGUUGGAAGGGUUAACUGUGAGGAUCCUCUCUUCCUCCACAGCCUUAUCUUGGUUUUGAACUGAGAAAAUCCUAUUCUGGUCCGAGCAAGUGUGUGUUCCAGAGACACUGUUAUUUUGUUAUCUUUUCUCUGAUCUCCUGCAAAUGUAUUUAUAUCUAAAAAUAAAAGGCAUAAAAUCAAACAUGCUAGGAGGCUUCUCUGUAAUGACCAGAGUCCUAUUUUUUAGCCUUACAUAUAGAUCUCCUGAGUUUGUUUCUUUCAGCUUCCAUUUCUUCCCAUGCUGUUCUACUAACCAUGUUACUACUAUAACUUAUCGCCCUGCUGCAUGGCAUGUACUGACAAAUCCAAAACUACAAGAAUACACAAGAUGGUUCCUCAUUCAUACCUUUGUUGGGAGGAUGAGAAAAUACACACUACUCUUCUUGUUCUGUACACUGUCCCUGUGAAAAGAGUGUUUUCCAAGGUUACCCCAAGGCUACAGUUAAGCUUGCAGCCUGUAAAUCUGAUUUGUAAACUUAUUGACUAUCUCAAUUUUCAUUUUUUUCAGUGCAAAACAAAAUAAA